rnacentral:rRNA from 1 species
CCUACGGGUGGCAGCAGUGGGGAAUAUUGGGCAAUGGGCGCAACCCUGACCCAGCAACGCCGCGUGAGGGAAGGAGUCUUUCGGGAUGUAAACUCCUAUUAAGAGGGAAGAGCAGAAGCCGGUACCUCUUGAAUAAGCUCCGGCAAAAUACGUGCCAGCAGCCGCGGUAAUACGUAGGGAGCGAGCGUUUUCCGGAUUUACUGGGUGUAAAGGGCGUGCAGCCGGGAGUACAAGUCAGAUGUGAAAUCCCGCGGCUCAACCGCGGAACUGCAUUUGAAACUGGAGUUCUUGAGUACUGGAGAGGCAGGCGGAAGUCCUAGUGUAGCGGUGAAAUGCGUAGAUAUUAGGAGGAACACCAGUGGCGAAGGCGGUCUGCUGGACAGCAACUGACGGUGAGGCGCGAAAGCGUGGGGAGCAAACAGGAUUAGAUACCCUUGUAGUC